rnacentral:lncRNA from 1 species
GUAAAUUGUUUAGAAAAUUGCUUUCUUUUAGUGUCUGCUGGAAUGUUACGUAAGUUUUUUUUUAGCCAUCAUUGCCAGAAUUCCUAUCUUCAUCCCAGUGCCAGUGAAGACAAAGAGAAAACCAAACUACAGCUUCUACGAUAGCUAUUACAACAAACUGUAUAAACUGAUGCAUCAAUGAAUAAUAACUCAACAAGUAAUGCUCAAUCAAGGAGUCGAUUUACUUUGGGAGGAAAUGGACAUAUUAAUGGAUUCCUCUGCUUUGAACUGCUUGCAGAACUUGCCUGGACUAUGUAUCACUUGUAUGCAUUGUGAACUAUCUGUUGGUGCAGCGAAUUGUGGUAGUGCUGGGGUAUCUUUGCUGAUGGUGUCAUAGGUGGUACAAUUUUUCCAAAAGGAACCGUCAUUUGGCUUGGUGUUGUGGCAUUUUGCAGCCUCCUCCCUUCUGCUUGUGAUGGUCUAAAAUUUGGGGGCCAACAGAGGUGAGGCAAAGAACCUCACCCCCCCACUGAUGCAAAGGCCAAAUUUGGGGGCCAACAGAGGUGAGGCAAAGAACCUCACCCACCACUGGUGCAAAGGCCUAUCCACAAGUAUGGCUGUAUGCUGGACCAGUAGUCAAUGACGGGUAAGAUCCAAUUGCAAUGGUACCAACCUAAGACAGGAGGCUGACACCUUGAGGUCAACUCAUCUGAUGAUGGGUAAGGACCAUAUGUAGUAUUGGACAUCUUAAGACGGGCGCGGUCCCUAAGCCACAUGCUUGUUGUUUAAUUAAACAGAAGGGGGGAGAUGUUGAGAGCCACAGCCAAGUCGGAAUGGCCCCUGGCAUUUUGCUAGAAGUAGUGGUUGAGAGGGGAGCCAUUAAGAUGAUGCUGGAUUGAUUCAAUUGUAUAUAGACCCCUGCUGUCUGCCUCAGGCGCCCGCUACUUUGGAGUUCUUGCAGGGAUUUCCUGGGGAGUUCGCGUUGGGGAAGUUCUGGUGGAGGGAAUUCUGGUUGGUGUGGUGUGCCGGAGAGGAGCCACAUGGGUGGCGUUCGGGAGAGUUC